UUCACUUUUCACUACGCAUGUACGCUUUUAACUUUCGUUUUGAAUUUCUCUCGCUCUUCUCCGCCCUCAACUUUCGUGUUUCUAGUUCGCAUUCGCAUUUUCCCUGCUCUCUUCAGUGCAGCGCUGGAGGAGAGGAAGCUCGUCGGAGCUGCAAUUAUUUUGCCGUCGAUGGUGCCUCUUGAGGUGUGAGCUUUGGUGAAAACAUUUAUGAAGAGUUGUGAAGGUGUGUCUCCGAUUCUGCAUUUAACUUUCCAUUUAAGUUGAGUCCCACCAUGCCUCAGAGAAAUUCCUUCAUUGAUGUUUUUAUUGUUAAAUGGAGCGUAUUAUAGUUUCCUAGAAUGAUAGUAUGCAUAUGGUAAGUGUUAAAACUGGUGCCUUUGCUUUUAGGACCAUGAUAGAUCCCCAAUAUCUUCAAUAUCUAAGAAACAGUCCCCCCUUUACUUCCCAUUGCAGUGCACGACAUUGUCUUACAUUGUUUCAUUCCUUCUAUUAGCAUUAACUGACAUGCCAGAAUUUGUGUCUUUGUUUGUACUGAAUCGUAAAACAAGUGGUAAAAUUUAAAAAUCACUAUGAGCAAAACGACAAGGGACAGCCCCUGUCCCAUUUUCA